AGCCUUAAAAGAAAAAGUCAUUAUCUGAUCCCUAUGCAGUCAUCCCUUAUACCUAAAAAUGGUAUUUUUCAGAAAUGAGAAAAUUCUAAAUAAGCCAUUGGGGGAAACUAAUAACAGGUUUGUGAGAAGAAGAGAGAAAGGGAAAUGAAAAGGGAUCUAUUGCACAACAAAGACACAGACACAACUGACAUGCAAGGGCUCUGUUGGCACAUGACUGCCAGGAUGCAAAGCUGGGUCUAAGCACAACAAACUAACCCACGGUACACACAGUAGCAUGACAGGCCUAUGGUUAUCUGAUUGGCACACCGUAACUGCUCUAUUUCGUGCAUUUACACUUAAGCCUCUAAUAAUAGUUCUUUGAAAAGCACUGUCUUGUAUUUAACUGAUGAUUGGCUCCAGCAAUUAAAUCCUACCACACUUUAGAAUGCUGGACUAUUCUGCUGCUUCCCAGAGUUGGAAAGAAAGGAGUUGACUCACAUCUUACCCAUCUCACUCCAGGUCAGCAAUGGCACUGGAGGCAGUGCUGGGGAUACUGAGGAUAUUGCUGUUUUGAGUGGCAUGUGUUUGCUCUGGAGAAAACAAUACAGAGCCUCCCUCGAAUGCAGAGUUAACAGUGGGGUUGUGUUUCUGAUCAACAGAAGCUGCUGGAUUACACCUUGUCCACAGAUAUAAAAAGGCUUCCCAGGAGCAGUCAUUUCUAACCUCUACUACGCAUCAGAGUCAUCCAGAGAGCUUGUUAAAACACAGAUUUCUGCGUCCCACCCUCAGAGUUUGCUGACUGAGAAGGUCUGGGUUGGACCAAAGAAUCUGCAUUUUUUAAAAGUUCCAUGGUCUAGGACCACACUUUGAGAACUGCUGUUCCAAAGAACCACCUGCUUUAUACUCUGGUUUCUCUUCGGAUCAUAUAAAUCUGC
rnacentral:lncRNA from 1 species